rnacentral:rRNA from 1 species
CCCUUAGAUGUUCUGGGCUGCACGCGCGCUACACUGAAGCUAUCAACACGUUUUCCCUCCCUGAGAAGGGCGGGUAACCUUUUGAAUCAGUUUCGUGGUAGGGAUCGGGGCUUGCAAUUGUUCCCCGUGAACCAGGAAUUCCUAGUAGACGCGAGUCAUAAGCUCGCAUCGAUUAAGUCCCUGCCCUUUGUACACACCGCCCGUCGCUACUACCGAUUGAACGUUUUAGUGAGGCAUUUGGACCGACGCAUCUCAGUUUAACCGCUGGUUUGUGUUGGAAAGACUUCCAAACUUGAGCGUUUAGAGGAAGUAAAAGUCGUAACA